rnacentral:tRNA from 1 species
GCGGGGGUGGCCGAGCGGGACAAAGGCGCAGGACUUAAGAUCCUGUGGGGUAGCCCUUCGUGGGUUCAAAUCCCACCCCCCGCA